CGCGCAAGGACACAAAGACCUGCAGUCUGUGCUGAUAAAUGUGACUAUUGGCGUUGAGAUUGAAAAAAGUUUAUCACAAUUUUGUUGUGCCAUAUUAAAGUUUAGACUCAGCAAUGCUCAACAAGCACUUAACCUUUUAUCUAUUUGUCUUUCGGGUAUCCAUUGUUGUCGCUAUUUUGGAGUCAGUCGCUAGUGAGCAAAGAGUACUUUGUCAAACUGAUGGCAAAGGUGUCUUGCUGUACGAGAAAAAUAUUACGCUGUACAGUCUUGUUGGAUCAGAGAUCAAAUUCCUGCCACAUAAAUUCCAAAAAAAGGGAAAUUCAAAGAAGUUUGUACCGCCUUCAAAAUACAGUUGGACUGUCAACGCCCUUGGAACUAAUUUUACCUAUCAGUGGCUAAAAGCUGUCAAAACGUCAAAUGGAAAAGAAUAUCGGACAAUCUUCAAAAUGUUUUACAGAGAACUCAAAGUAAAGGGUGUUACAGAGGAAUACGAUGGUGUGCACCUAAGAUAUACAGUUGUGCUACCUAAUUCUACGAGAUUUCAUUCAAAAACGGCGAUUUUACAUG